GUCAGGGUGGCGUAGUAGUCAGCGCACCUGCCUAGUGAGCAGAAGACCUGGGUUCGAAUCCCAGCCAUGAUA